rnacentral:misc_RNA from 1 species
AACGCACGAGACCUGCGGACCUGCGGAAGGAUCAUUAAUGAGAAGCUGCCCCUCGUGGGUAGACCUCCCACCCUCUGUGAACUUACCUUUGUUGCUUUGGCAGGCCCGUCCUCUGGACCGCCGGCUUCGGCUGGCCCGUGCCUGCCAGAGGAUUCCAAACCCUGUCUGUCAGUGUUGUCUGAGUCUAUAUGAAAUCGUUAAAACUUUCAACAACGGAUCUCUAGAUCGGAAGAGCACACG